rnacentral:rRNA from 1 species
UACGAAGGGGGCAAGCGUUGUUCGGAAUUACUGGGCGUAAAGGGCGCGUAGGCGGCUCUUGAAGUCAGAUGUGAAAUCCCCGGGCUCAACCUGGGAAUUGCAUUUGAGACUGCACGGCUAGAGUGUGUCAGAGGGGGGUAGAAUUCCACGUGUAGCAGUGAAAUGCGUAGAGAUGUGGAGGAACACCAGUGGCGAAGGCGGCCUUCUGGACCAGUACUGACGCUCAUGCACGAAAGCGUGGGGAGCAAACAGG